UUCGCAAUGCCCGAAAGGGUGACGAAGCGACGCCGCGUGUGGGAAGAAGGCCUUCGGGUUGUAAACCACUGUCAGGAGUUAAGAAGUGUAAGGAUACGAAUAGUGUCUUUACUUGACUAAGGCUCCAGAGGAAGCCACGGCUAACUCUGUGCCAGCAGCCGCGGUAAUACAGAGGUGGCAAGCGUUGUUCGGAAUUAUUGGGCGUAAAGAGCACGUAGGCGGUUAUGCAAGUCGGCUGUGAAAGCCUUCCGCUCAACGGAAGAACAGCAGUUGAUACUACAGGAUUAGAGUGCGGGAGGGGAGAGUGGAACUUCUGGUGGAGCGGUGAAAUGCGUAGAUAUCAGAAGGAACGCCGGCGGCGAAAGCGACUCUCUGGCCCGUAACCGACGCUGAGUGUGCGAAAGCUCGGGGAGCAAACGGGAUUAGAUACCCCGGUAGUCCUAGCCGUAAACGAUGGGCCCUAAGUAGCGGGGUUUU
rnacentral:rRNA from 1 species